CAACCUGAGAGUUUGAUCCUGGCUCAGAACGAACGCUGGCGGCAGGCCUAACACAUGCAAGUCGAACGAGAAGCCAGACUUCGGUUUGGUGGAAAGUGGCAGACGGGUGAGUAACGCGUGGGAAUCUACCCAGUGGUACGGAAUAACUCAGGGAAACUUGGGCUAAUACCGUAUGAGCCCGAAAGGGGAAAGAUUUAUCGCCAUUGGAUGAGCCCGCGUCUGAUUAGCUAGUUGGUGGGGUAACGGCCUACCAAGGCGACGAUCAGUAGCUGGUCUGAGAGGAUGAUCAGCCACA
rnacentral:rRNA from 1 species